GACGUAGGGCGCGAGCGUUGUCCGGAUUUAUUGGGCGUAAAGAGCUCGUAGGCGGUUUGUCGCGUCGGCCGUGAAAUCUCCACGCUUAACGUGGAGCGUGCGGUCGAUACGGGCAGACUUGAGUUCGGUAGGGGAGACUGGAAUUCCUGGUGUAGCGGUGAAAUGCGGACAGAUAUCAGGGAGGAACACCGGUGGGCGAAGGCGGGUCUCUGGGC
rnacentral:rRNA from 1 species